rnacentral:lncRNA from 1 species
GAAUAUUUGCUGAAAAGAUAUAACCAGAGCCAAAAUGUCGACCUACAGGCUAGACGGGGAGCACCCUCUCUUCUAAACUGCCACAGUCCCUGGGAAAAGAGCAUUCCUACUUCAAGUGGCUGCAUGGAUCUUCUCACCACCAAGCUUACUUCUGGAUUUCGUAGAGCCCCAAGAUCCAGGACUCCUCUCCCAGGCCAUUUAUCCUGUCCUGAAAUGAGAAGUGAUGCACUAAGAAGAGUGAGAGGCUGGAUUUCAGAUGAGAUGACCUGGGGACAAAGUAUAGUUCUACUCCUGACUCCCUGCGUGACUUCAAGAUCCCAGGAUUCAGCAUCAAAGACCUUAGAAAACCUCAUUGGGAACAAUGGAAGGUCUUCAGCCUUCUGAGGUCUUCAGGAGCUACCAUUCAUGGAGAGGACUUUAAGCAAGAAGGGAAA